rnacentral:rRNA from 1 species
GACAAGUGAAUAAGUGCACAUGGUGGAUGCCUUGGCGAUUACAGGCGAUGAAGGACGUUGUAGCUUGCGAUAAGCUGCGGGGAGUGAGCAAACACACUUUGAUCCGCAGAUUUCCGAAUGGGGAAACCCGGCCUUUUAGGUCAUCGUUAUCUGAAUACAUAGGGUAACGAAGCGAACGCGGCGAACUGAAACAUCUAAGUAGCUGCAGGAAAAGAAAUCAACCGAGAUUCCCAAAGUAGUGGCGAGCGAAAUGGGAUGAGCCUUGUACGUGAUAGUCGAUCGGAUAGUGGAGGCCUCUGGAAAUAGGCGCCAUAGCGGGUGAUAGCCCCGUACACGAAAUCCGAACGGUGGUACCAAGCGUACGACAAGUAGGGCGGGACACGUGAAAUCCUGUCUGAAGAUGGGGGGACCAUCCUCCAAGGCUAAAUACUCGUAAUCGACCGAUAGUACCGUG